CCUACGGGUGGCAGCAGUGGGGAAUAUUGGACAAUGGGGGCAACCCUGAUCCAGCCAUGCCGCGUGUGUGAAGAAGGCCCUCGGGUUGUAAAGCACUUUCAGUGAGGAAGAACGCCUGGUGGUUAAUACCCAUCAGGAAAGACAUCACUCACAGAAGAAGCACCGGCUAACUCCGUUCCAGCAGCCGCGGUAAUACGGAGGGUGCGAGCGUUAAUCGGAAUUACUGGGCGUAAAGCGCGCGUAGGUGGCUUGAUAAGCCGGUUGUGAAAGCCCCGGGCUCAACCUGGGAACGGCAUCCGGAACUGUCAAGCUAGAGUGCAGGAGAGGAAGGUAGAAUUCCCGGUGUAGCGGUGAAAUGCGUAGAGAUCGGGAGGAAUACCAGUGGCGAAGGCGGCCUUCUGGACUGACACUGACACUGAGGUGCGAAAGCGUGGGUAGCAAACAGGAUUAGAUACCCUGGUAGUC
rnacentral:rRNA from 1 species